UACGGAGGGUGCAAGCGUUAUCCGGAUUCACUGGGUUUAAAGGGUGCGUAGGAGGGUGAGUAAGUCAGUGGUGAAAUCUUCGAGCUUAACUCGGAAACUGCCGUUGAUACUACUUGUCUUGAAUACCGUGGAGGUGAGCGGAAUAUGUCAUGUAGCGGUGAAAUGCUUAGAUAUGACAUAGAACACCAAUUGCGAAGGCAGCUCACUACACGAAUAUUGACUCUGAGGCACGAAAGCGUGGGGAUCAAAC
rnacentral:rRNA from 1 species